GGGCCGUUAGCUCAGUUGGUAGAGCAGUUGGCUUUUAACCAAUUGGUCCCGCGUUCGAGUCGCGGACGGCCCACCA
rnacentral:tRNA from 8 species